UAGGACCCACUUCACCUCACAGGAAGUU
rnacentral:piRNA from 1 species